rnacentral:rRNA from 1 species
CCUUAGAUGUUCUGGGCCGCACGCGCGCUACACUGACAGAGCCAACGAGUAUAAACCUUAACCGAGAGGUUUGGGUAAUCUUGUUAAACUCUGUCGUGCUGGGGAUAGAGCAUUGCAAUUAUUGCUCUUCAACGAGGAAUAUCUAGUAAGCGCAAGUCAUCAGCUUGCGUUGAUUACGUCCCUGCCCUUUGUACACACCGCCCGUCGCUACUACCGAUUGAAUGGCUCAGUGAGGCCUUCGGACUGGCUUAGGAAGGUUGGCAACAACCAUCUCGAGCCGGAAAGUUGGUCAAACUUGGUCAUUUAGAGGAAGUAAAAGUCGUAACAAGGUUUAGAAUAAGGAUCCUUUCGAUUAGGUGACGCUUAUGAGAAGCCUUUGUGGCCCCUCAAGGGGUACCUGCCACGACUAUAAACAAGGAAUUGUAGGUAUUAAAUCGCAAGUCGGUUCGCUUUUUUGGCAACCGGCCACACUUUCGAAUUGCGGGAACACCCUAAAGCCCAAUUCUACCAAACCAGCCGGGAAAUCGGUUGGCGGCCCUUGUUAACAGCACGGGGUAAGGUAACAAUGAAUUGGGAUAGUUUAGUAUGGGAAAUCCGCAGCCAAGUCCCUAAAGGCGAACAGCUAUGGGAAAGGUUCACAGACUAAGUGGAAGUGGGCUGCCUUUCGGGCAGCUUAAGAUAUAGUCGGGCUUUGCGAGAAAUCGUGGAGAAGUCACUCAAGACUGGUAACUGUUCCGUAGGUGAACCUGCGGAAGGAUCAUUAUUAAAACAAAUCUGCGGAUAGGUUCGCCCUACCGUAGUAUUUAAACCAACUGUGAAUCAAAAACCUUUUGCUUCGGCAGCGGGUGGGUUUAGUUACCCACUUGUCAGCCUGCCGGCAGCGCCAAACCAAACCUGUUUUUAAACUAUUGUCUGAACAAAUCAUUUACGAAUGAAUAUUAAAACUUUCAACAACGGAUCUCUUGGUUCUCGCAUCGAUGAAGAACGCAGCGAAACGCGAUAGUUAAUGUGAAUUGCAGAAUUCAGUGAAUCAUCGAGUCUUUGAACGCACAUUGCGCCCAUCGGUAUUCCUUUGGGCAUGUCUGUUUGAGCGUCAUUUCAACCCUCUAAGCGUAAAUUUUGUUUACGGUUAGGUUUUGAGCUCGGAUCCGGAGGGUGAUUCCUUCAAGACCGGCUUUAAAGUUGAACGCUCUGCGGGUGACUUUCAACCUGACCGAACAUAGUAAUAUUUUAUUUCCUGUUCAACUUGGUUUUCAGUUUUAGACCCAGCCUGAAUAAAAAAUCUUUCACAAGUUUUGACCUCAGAUCAGACAAGGAUACCCGCUGAACUUAAGCAUAUCAAUAAGCGGAGGAAAAGAAACCAACAGGGAUUGCCUCAGUAACGGCGAGUGAAGCGGCAACAGCUCAAAUUUGAAAUCUGGAGUCUUUGACUUCCGAGUUGUAAUUUGAAGAGGAUGCUUCGGUUGUAGCCUGGGCCUAAGUUCCUUGGAACAGGACGUCGUAGAGGGUGAGAAUCCCGUACACGGCUACCGGCUUACUUCCAUGUGUAGCUCCUUCGAAGAGUCGAGUUGUUUGGGAAUGCAGCUCAAAAUGGGUGGUAAAUUUCAUCUAAAGCUAAAUAUUGGCGAGAGACCGAUAGCGCACAAGUAGAGUGAUCGAAAGAUGAAAAGCACUUUGAAAAGAGAGUUAAACAGUACGUGAAAUUGUUGAAAGGGAAGCGUUUGCAAUCAGACUUGCUUUCAGUUGAUCAACGUUCCUUUUGGUUCGUGCACUCUGCUGUUUGCAGGCCAGCAUCAGUUCGGGUGGUGGGACAAAGACUGUGGGAAUGUGGCUCUCUUCGGGGAGUGUUAUAGCCCACUGUGUAAUGCCGCCUAUCCGGAUUGAGGUCCGCGCUUUUGCUAGGAUGCUGGCAUAAUGGUUGUAAACGAC